rnacentral:sRNA from 1 species
AUAUAUGAGGUUUUAAUUCUUUAUUGUAUUCCAUUUCCAACGGUGCUCGCAGUGGACAUGCAAGAUGCAACUAUGUCUGGGCAAAUAAAUUAAACCGAAUGUAUCGAACUAAAAUCGAAAUAAAAAUAACCGAAUAGAAUCAAAAAUUGGAAACUAAUCGAAUGGAUACUAAAUUCUAUAACCGAAAUAACCGAAACAGAAUGGAUAUAAACCUAAAUAUUUUGGGUAACCAAAAAUAUCCUAAAUAUAAAUAUAUUUUCAAAAAUAUUAGUUAUUUCUAGACUUAAUAAUUAAAAUACUUGAGAAUAUAUAUAAAAUAGUAAAAAUACUUG